CUUAAAGACCAUUUUAUGUAACUAAUAAAAAGCCAUUUUGUGUAGAGCUGAUAAGACCUAAGCCUCUGAAGCAAGCCCUUGGCAGGCCUCCAGACAGCAUAGAUAGGAGCUAGUCCCAGGACAGGCCUUGAUAUACUAAUGAACUCCCUCCAAGGUGUUGUUGCUGCACCAGUAAACCAGCCCCAAGCUGUGAACCCUGAUAGCGCAAAGCUACUGCCCAAUGAAAUGAUACAAAAAUUGGAACUUUGAGAAUGAUGUCUAAGAUCGCUGUACUGUACACCUUAAACACAGCUUCUCUGUCUUUGAUACCAGCCUAGAAGCUUCCAAAACAUUCUCACUUAGGAAACUUCCCCAAGGGACCCCUACAGUAGCAUUCUUUGCCCAAAAAACUGCUUCCCACCUGGUAUGAUAUCUAUUUUAUUUUUAUGUUAGUGUAAUAUUAUAAGGAAUAUUUGCCUGAAUAAACUAAGCACAUUUAAAAGACAGAUCUUGCAUGUACAUCCUAAUUGCCAAGAAUUUUACAGCCAACAGGCCUAUGCUCUCCACAAUACUGAAUCCAAAUAAGUCCUAAUUCCAAUGUUUGGCCUCUUUAUAGAGAGAAAGAGAUUAAAAAUGAAGAGACAUGCAGAGAGUGCACCAUGUCAUCAUGGAGACAGACUGAAGUGACACAGCUGCUAGUCAAGAAGGAGUAAGACUUCCUGAAGCCACCAAAGGAAAGCGGUAUGAAGUGGUUUCUCCCUCAAAGUAUCCAGAGGAAACCAACCCAGCCAACACCUUUAUGCUUAAGACUUCUUGCCUUCAGAACUGUGAGAAGGUGAAGAAACAGAGCUGAAGCAGAGAGGAAGUCACCUCUCCCACCUGCCCUAUGCAGUCAGGCCUUCUGUGCACACAGUCAAUUGCCUGGAUUAAUGUCACCGGUUCCUGACGAGUCCUGCUGCACAAGCAAUCCACUCUACUGAUCAGUCAUGCUGGCUCUCCACAGCCACCGUCAUUGUGAGGAUCCACCUGCUCUCCCUGGGAUGCUGAAUACUGUUUUAUAACAAGGGAAUAUGCAGUAACUAGAAGAAGCAGAACAACUUGCCACCAAUCAGAGUGGAAGCAUGCCAUCAGCCUCUGCCUUGUUCUCCGACAGAGACGAAGCCAGUGCCUCCCAUGCCGGGCUCUCUGGAGAUCAUCUCUCAGCAUGGAGAGCCUGCUCCAGCCCCUGAAGCAGAAAGCUGCUACUUAACCAAACACACAGGCCUAACAGCUGGGAUUAAAUGACCCGAAAGGUAAAACAAUCCUGCCUACAGCAAACAGAAUCACCACUUAGGCUCUGCUGUCAAGUCAUGUGGACCCUGUAAAAACAGGUUAAGCCAUGUUGAGAAUGUGCUAUGCUCACACAGCAGAGUAGAAUAAACUAGCGAGGGUAUGAUUGGGAUAGGAGCACGUUUUGCUAAAGCCAAUUCUCUCUAACUCCCACAUACACGUCUACUUGUAUCCUUCAGUAAUUCCUGAAUAUGUUAAAGGAAGAAACUACAGACGAAUACAUGUUCUACUUACUGAUCUGCCUGCUGGAAAUCUCUUCAUUUAAUUUCUGGAGACUACCUAAAUCAGAAAACUAUAGCAGUACAAUGAGUAACCAUGUUAAGUAAUCCUCUCUACCACCUCGUUCCCCAGGCUAAGACACUUCUAAGGAAGCAUUUUAGCUCAAUUGGAGAACUUCUUAAAGCCAGAUCAAAACUAAAACUCAGUGUGUCAGAGAAGUAACUGGGUUUUAAAAGAAAAGGCUGUGUGAGCCAUCUUCGAACAGCAGAAUGUCUCUCUUAAAAUUACUGACAUCCAGAAUCAGAUGUCUUGUCUACAGAGCAAGACCCUGUCUCAAAAACACAACAGCAAAAAUAACUUCUGAGAUUCGUUUAGAAUUAUCCUUACUGAUAAAAUUACAACUAUAAAAGAGAUAAUCAUUUUAAGUACAGAAAAUUAUUCAGACAGAAAAAUGGAUUCCAGAAAGCAACCCUGUGUUUAAGUCACUGUUUCGGGUAAUUUCUCCAUUGUCAUUGUUUAGAUACAAGCUGGGGGCUAGCAGUGAUCUCAUGGGCGCCUAUAAAAGAUGCCCAGGAACGUGAUAACCAUUGGAUGUUGUAUACAUGCAAUCAGAAACACAACCAAGAUUGUGUCAAACUCAGGGCCUUGGAAUUGAGAGGAAGAGAGCCUCCCUCGGCUGUCUGUUAGCCCCUCUCUACCCUUAGGAAGUAUCUAUUCUUGCUUCCUAACUGAAUGUUAUUUAGAAUUCUGUUUUGAUUAUACACACUUUUUAUGUUUCAGGAAAAAAAAAUAUUUUCCCGUGCAUGGUUUUAAUUCUUUUUCUAAAACAGAAGUUUAACACUACAAAAAAAAAAAAAAAGGAAAGAAAAAGCAAUAAUGGUUGUAAGGGGAAAACACAGAAAUUAAGGCAGACUCUCUCUAAUGGGGAAUGUGGAUGAAGGAGUACUUGGGAAAGCCAAGCUAUGAAGAAUUGUCUAAGAUUAUUCUUCAAUCUCCUUAUCCUUCCUUGGAUUUUCCAACUGUUCCACAACAACCACACACACAAAGAGAGCAGCCUGUGAGGGGUACACAGCCUGAGCGGGAGUUCAGGACACUACUCUCUACCCAGUUUCUGCACGGGCAGCCAGUUGGCAGCACUC
ensembl:lncRNA